rnacentral:rRNA from 1 species
UACGUAGGGACCAAGCGUUGUUCGGAUUUACUGGGCGUAAAGGGCGCGUAGGCGGCUUAACAAGUCACUUGUGAAAUACCCGAGCUUAACUUGGGUGCUGCAUUUGAAACUGGGUGUCUAGAGUGCAGGAGAGGUAAGUGGAAUUCCUAGUGUAGCGGUGAAAUGCGUAGAGAUUAGGAAGAACACCAGUGGCGAAGGCGACUUACUGGACUGUAACUGACGCUGAGGCAUGAAAGCGUGGGGAGCAAACAGG